rnacentral:rRNA from 1 species
CCUAGGGGGGCUGCAGUGAGGAAUAUUGGUCAAUGGGCUUACGCCUGAACCAGCCAAGUCGCGUGAGGGAAGACUGCCCUAUGGGUUGUAAACCUCUUUUGUCAGGGAGCAACGCCGGCUACGAGUAGCCGGACUGAGAAUACCUGAAGAAAAAGCAUCGGCUAACUCCGUGCCAGCAGCCGCGGUAAUACGGAGGAUGCGAGCGUUCUCCGGUUUUAUUGGGGUUAAAGGGUGCGUAGGCGGAAUGCCAAGUCAGCGGUAAAAUCGCGGGGCUCAACCUCGCUCCGCCGUUGAAACUGGCGGUCUUGAGUGGGCGAGAAGUAUGCGGAAUGCGUGGUGUAGCGGUGAAAUGCAUAGAUAGCACGCAGAACUCCGAUUGCGAAGGCAGCAUACCGGCGCCCAACUGACGCUGAAGCACGAAAGCGUGGGUAUCGAACAGGAUUAGAUACCCUUGUAGUC